rnacentral:misc_RNA from 1 species
CACCAAUCACGCCUGGCGUGGUAUUGGGCGACGGGGCCGUCACACGCCCCGCGCCCCAAUGACUCCCCGGCGGGACGGACCGUAUCUCAGCGUUGUGCAAAUGCCGCUGGCGAGGACGGGACGGCCGUGCCGUGAAAACCUCAUUUUAUCA